UGCUGCCUUGCCGGUGCAUGAGCAGUAAGCUGAGAAGGUGUGCUAAAUCAGUAUGGGGUGCUUAAUAGAAUGUAAGCCUGCAUUUCCAAAAAUCUAUAUUUAUUGGAAAGGCUAAAUAUCUAGUAGAUCUCAAAGGGAUAGAGCAAAAAGGAAGUCCUAAUCCCCUCACCCUCUGAUUGUAGAUUGCAUGUCUCACAUUUUGACCAGAUGCGUUCAUACUGAGGGGGUGUGUGACUGUUAGUACAAGACUGAUGUUUUUAUUAUUAUGACACACCUAAUACAGAUUAUCAUUUUAACCCUGGGUAAGUGUACAGUUCAGCAUCCUCUCACUGAUACUGUGCAGUCAUUACCACCACCCAUCCUCAGAACUUCUCCAAGACUGGUUUCAUUGGAGCUAGCUGCCUAUCUGCGUUGAUUUCACACCCUUUGAAUAUGAGUAUUGCUCUUUGCUUGGAAGUCAAGUUCUAUGUGAAAGGAGGCCUAGGUGAUCCGACAGAGCCAGCAACUCCUGUUUUACCCCAUCGCUUGAGUGGGGCAUGAUAUGGGUGCCUCGUGACUUCUAGUCACUCGUCUGAAAAGUUCCAAGAAACCGUUAAGUCAGAGCCAUCCUGGUAAUCCAUAUUUCUUGCGUGCAAAUCUUCAUGGUCUUGAAGCAAAGAUGCCUCCGCCCACGGGGCAGUCAAAAUCCCUUAUAGGCUGGGACAACUGCUGGCGAGUGGCGCCGGUCAGUGUGGGCUGGCCGUCCGGAUCAAGGAUUGUUUGUGCUCGUUUUCCCAGUACUCCUGCAAAUGGACUUCAAAUGGAAGUGUGUGUGAGUGUUCGCAGUUCAUUUUCUUUUUAGUGAGAUAAAAGAAACAAUACCAUCCAAGCUGGGUCGGGAAGAAAAAAGAACCUAACCAUUUAAAAUAUUCUAAAAUGGUGGGACGUCCACAUCGAAGAAGGACCCUCAAACCAAUGAGAAAUAAAAUGCAUAAAUAGGAAACUGGAAAAGAGCUGUUGAACAGGCAAUAAAUGUUAAUGAUGUAACAUGAGCUGAAGGGUAAGCCAGACUUUGUCACCAAGAUUGGGAAGUCAUUCCAGACCCCAAGUAGACUGCUGACAUUCUAAGCACUGCAGAAGAAUGGCUCCCGGUCAGGAGGCAGCAUCUGGUUUUUGGGAAAGCACCAGAGGGAAGCAUCCUGUGCUAGUCACUCUAAGGUUGAAGCCAAGUUUGGUCCCGGUCGCUGUGUACGAACCAUCUGAUGAUGGAGGAAUACCUCAACAGUUCGUGGAAAAUGGAAUUAGAAG